GACGAACGCUGGCGGCGCGCUUAACACAUGCAAGUCGAACGGAAAGGCCUGCUUUCCCUUGUGGAUUGCGGGUACUCGAGUGGCGAACGGGUGAGUAACACGUGAGUGAUCUGCCCCCAACUUGGGUAUAAGCCUGGGAAACUGGGUCUAAUUCCCGAUAGGACUGCAGGGUGGUGCCUGUGGUGGAAAACGAUUUUCUAGUGGUUGGGGAUGAGCUCGCGGCCUAUCAGCUUGUUGGUGGGGUAAUGGCCUACCAAGGCGGCGACGGGUAGCCGGCCUGAGAGGGUGGACGGCCACAUUGGGACUGAGAUACGGCCCAGACUCCCACGGGAGGCAGCAGUGGGGAAUAUUGCACAAUGGGCGGAAGCCUGAUGCAGCGACGCCGCGUGGGGGAUGACGGCCUUCGGGUUGUAAACUCCUUUCGACCGCGAGGAAGCCACCUGGUUGGAAGGGUGGUGACGGUAGUGGUAGAAGAAGCACCGGCUAACUACGUG
rnacentral:rRNA from 1 species